rnacentral:rRNA from 1 species
GUCUAUGGCCAUACCACCCUGAAUGCACCUGAUCUCAGAAGCUAAGCAGGGUUGGGCCUGGUUAGUACUUGCAUGGGAGAUUCGGGAUUUUACUCUGUUGCCCAGGGUGCUGGAGUGCCGUGGUGCUAUCAGACA